UCACAGUAGCCAAAAGCUUGAAAGCAACCCAGUGUCCCUUGACAGAUGAAAGACUAAACAAAAUGUGACAUAUAUGUACAAUGGAAUAUUA